UACGUAGGGUGCAAGCGUUAAUCGGAAUGACUGGGCGUAAAGGGUGCGUAGGCGGUGGGUUAAGACGGAUGUGAAAGGCCUGGGCUCAACCUGGGAAUGGCAUACGUGACUAACCGACUAGAAUAGGGCAGAGGGAGGUGGAAUUCCACAUGUAGCAGUGAAAUGCGUAGAGAUGUGGAGGAACAUCGAUGGCGAAGGCAGCCUCCUGGGCCGCUAUUGACGCUGAGGCACGAAAGCGUGGGGAGCAAACAGG
rnacentral:rRNA from 1 species